UACGUAGGGGGCAAGCGUUGUCCGGAUUUAUUGGGCGUAAAGAGCGUGUAGGCGGCCAGGGAGGUCCGUUGUGAAAACUCGAGGCUCAACCUAGAGACGCCGAUGGAAACCCCCUGGCUAGAGUCCGGAAGAGGAGAGUGGAAUUCCUGGUGUAGCGGUGAAAUGCGCAGAUAUCAGGAAGAACACCCGUGGCUAAGGCGGCUCUCUAGUACGGUACUGACGCUGAGACGCGAAAGCGUGGGGAGCGAACAGG
rnacentral:rRNA from 1 species